rnacentral:misc_RNA from 1 species
GAUGAAGAACGUAGCGAAAUGCGAUACUUGGUGUGAAUUGCAGAAUCCCGUGAACCAUCGAGUCUUUAAACGCAAGUUGCGCCCGAAGCCACUAGGCCGAGGGCACGCCUGCCUGGGCGUCACACGCCGUUGCCCCCCCAUCUACUCCUUCGGGAUUGCGGGGGGGCGGAUGAUGGCCUCCCGUGCGCCUAGCCGCGCGGUUGGCAUAAAUACCAAGUCCUCGGCGACGCACGCCACGACAAUCGGUGGUUGCGAAACCUCGGUUGCCCGUCGUGUGCGUUCGUCGCGCAUCGAGGGCUCGAAAAAAUGCUCGGCUCCGGCUGGGCUUUCAACGCGACCCCAGGUCAGGCGGGGUUACCCGCUGAAUUUAAGCAUAUCAAUAAGCGGAGGA